rnacentral:sRNA from 1 species
AGAAUUUGGUACUUAUGAAGACUGUUUAAAUUUUAUGUCUCUCCACCAAGUGAAAAUGCUGCAAUUCACAACCCUUUCAGACCUUGGUGGGAAAGAUACCAACCAGUUAGCUAAACAUUAUACACAAGAUCUGGAAAUGAAGAUGAAUUUAGAAACAUGGCGACUAGAUGCAACAACGUUGGGGUUGGUAUUUAUGUGGAUGCUGUAAUUAAUCAUAGGUGCGGUAAUGCUGUGAGUGCAGGAACAAGCAGUACCUGUGGAAGUUACUUCAACACUGGAAGUAGGGACUUUCCAGCAGUCCUGUAUUCUGGAUGGGAUUUUAAUGAUGGUAAACAUAAAACUGGAAGUGGAGAUAUCAAGAAGUAUAACGGUGACACUCAGGUCAGAGAUUGUCGUCUGUCUGGUCUUCUUGAUCUUGCACUGGAGAAAGAUUAUGUGCAUUCCAAGAUUGCCGAAUAUAUGAACCAUCUCAUUGACAUUGGUGUUGCAGGGUGCAGACUUGAUGCUUCCAAGCAUGUGUGGCCUGGAGACAUAAAGGCAAUUUUGGACAAACUGCAUAAUCUAAACAGUAGCUUAUUCCCUGAAGGAAGUAAACCUUUCAUUUACCAGGAGGUAAUUUAUCUGGGUGGUGAGCCAAUUAAAAGCAGUGACUACUUUGGAAACGGCCGCGUGACAGAAUUCAAGUAUGUUGCAAAACUCGGCACAAUUAUUCGCAAGUGGAAUGGAGAGAAGAUGUCUUAAA